CACGUAGGGGGCGAGCGUUGUCCGGAUUUAUUGGGCGUAAAGGGCUCGUAGGCGGUCUGUUACGUCGGGAGUGAAAACUCGGGGCUCAACCCCGAGCCUGCUUCCGAUACGGGCAGACUAGAGGUAUGCAGGGGAGAAUGGAAUUCCUGGUGUAGCGGUGAAAUGCGCAGAUAUCAGGAGGAACACCGGUGGCGAAGGCGGUUCUCUGGGCAUUACCUGACGCUGAGGAGCGAAAGUGUGGGGAGCGAACAGG
rnacentral:rRNA from 1 species